UACGGGGGGGGCAAGCGUUGUUCGGAAUUACUGGGCGUAAAGGGCGCGUAGGCGGCCUGCUAAGUCACACGUGAAAUCCCUCGGCUCAACCGGGGAACUGCGUGUGAUACUGGCGGGCUCGAAUUCGGGAGAGGGAUGUGGAAUUCCAGGUGUAGCGGUGAAAUGCGUAGAUAUCUGGAGGAACACCGAUGGCGAAGGCAAUCCCCUGGACCUGUACUGACGCUCAUGCACGAAAGCGUGGGGAGCAAACAGG
rnacentral:rRNA from 1 species